AUCAACGCUGGCGGCGUGCCUCAGACAUGCAAGUCGAACGAUUAAAGCUCUCUUCGGAGAGUGUAUAGAGUGGCGCACGGGUGAGUAACACGUAAGUAAUCUACCCUCGGGUGGGGAAUAACAUUCGGAAACGAAUGCUAAUACCGCAUAAUGCAGCGGCUCCUAAUGGAGACAGUUGUUAAAGGAGUAAUUCGCCUGGGGAGGAGCUUGCGGCAGAUUAGCAGUUGGUAAGGUAAUGGCUUACCAAGGCAACGAUCUGUAGCCGGUCUAAGAGGACGGUCGGUCACACUGACACUGAAUAACGGGUCAGACUCCUACGGGAGGCAGCAGUCGGAAUUUGGCAAUGGGCGAAAGCCUGACCCAGCAACGCCGCGUGAAGGA
rnacentral:rRNA from 1 species